CCCCUAGAUGUUCUGGGCCGCACGCGCGCUACACUGAACAGUUCAACAAGUCUUAACCUUGGCCGAUAGGUCUGGGUAAUCUUUGAACGCUGUUCGUGAUUGGGAUAGACCUUUGCAAUUAUGGGUCUUCAACGAGGAAUUCCUAGUAAACGCAAGUCAUCAGCUUGCAUUGAUUACGUCCCUGCCCUUUGUACACACCGCCCGUCGCACCUACCGAUUGAAUGGUCCGGUGAAGCGUUUGGACUAUGGUUUUCUGACGGUUCGCCAUUGGAUUACCGUGGGAAAUUCGUUAAACCUUAUCAUUUAGAGGAAGGAGAAGUCGUANCA
rnacentral:rRNA from 1 species